UACGUAGGGUGCAAGCGUUAAUCGGAAUUACUGGGCGUAAAGCGUGCGCAGGCGGUGAUGUAAGACAGAUGUGAAAUCCCCGGGCUCAACUUGGGAACUGCAUUUGUGACUGCAUCGCUGGAGUGCGGCAGAGGGGGAUGGAAUUCCGCGUGUAGCAGUGAAAUGCGUAGAUAUGCGGAGGAACACCGAUGGCGAAGGCAAUCCCCUGGGCCUGCACUGACGCUCGAUGCACGAAAGCGUGG
rnacentral:rRNA from 1 species